GCCGGGGGGUGCUUACCUGCAAGUCGAACGAUGAUCCCAGCUUGCUGGGGGAUUAGUGGCGAACGGGUGAGUAACACGUGAGUAACCUGCCCUUAACUCUGGGAUAAGCCUGGGAAACUGGGUCUAAUACCGGAUAUGACUCCUCAUCGCAUGGUGGGGGGUGGAAAGCUUUUUGUGGUUUUGGAUGGACUCGCGGCCUAUCAGCUUGUUGGUGAGGUAAUGGCUUACCAAGGCGACGACGGGUAGCCGGCCUGAGAGGGUGACCGGCCACACUGGGACUGAGACACGGCCCAGACUCCUACGGGAGGCAGCAGUGGGGAAUAUUGCACAAUGGGCGCAAGCCUGAUGCAGCGACGCCGCGUGAGGGAUGACGGCCUUCGGGUUGUAAACCUCUUUCAGUAGGGAAGAAGCGAAAGUGACGGUACCUGCAGAAGAAGCGCCGGCUAACUACGUGCCAGCAGCCGCGGUAAUACGUAGGGCGCAAGCGUUAUCCGGAAUUAUUGGGCGUAAAGAGCUCGUAGGCGGUUUGUCGCGUCUGCCGUGAAAGUCCGGGGCUCAACUCCGGAUCUGCGGUGGGUACGGGCAGACUAGAGUGAUGUAGGGGAGACUGGAAUUCCUGGUGUAGCGGUGAAAUGCGUAGA
rnacentral:rRNA from 1 species